rnacentral:rRNA from 1 species
AUUGAACGCUGGCGGCAUGCUUUACACAUGCAAGUCGAACGGUAACAGGGAGCUUGCUCCGCUGACGAGUGGCGAACGGGUGAGUAAUGCGUCGGAACGUGCCGAGCAGAGGGGGAUAACGCAUCGAAAGGUGUGCUAAUACCGCAUACGAACUGGGGGUGAAAGUUGGGGACCUUCGGGCCUCACGCUAUUCGAGCCGCCGACGUCUGAUUAGCUAGUUGGUGAGGUAAAGGCUCACCAAGGCGACGAUCAGUAGCGGGUCUGAGAGGAUGAUCCGCCACACUGGGACUGAGACACGGCCCAGACUCCUACGGGAGGCAGCAGUGGGGAAUUUUGGACAAUGGGCGAAAGCCUGAUCCAGCCAUGCCGCGUGUCUGAAGAGGGCCUUCGGGUUGUAAAGGACUUUUGUCCGGGAGCAAAUGCUGGUGGCUAACAUCCACCGGAGCUGAGAGUACCGGAAGAAUAAGCACCGGCUAACUACGUGCCAGCCGCCGCCGUAAGAC